rnacentral:snoRNA from 1 species
ACAGCCAAACCAACAUUCCUUGGAAAAGCUGAACAAAAUGAGUGAGAACUACACCCGUCGUCGUUCUCAUCGGUAACUGA